rnacentral:rRNA from 1 species
AUUGAACGCUGGCGGCAUGCUUUACACAUGCAAGUCGAACGAGUGGCGCACGGGUGAGUAAUACAUCGGAACGUGUCCUCUCUUAGGGGAUAACUGCUCGAAAGAUCCACUACUACCGCCUACGCUUUGCGCGUCCGAUUCCCGAUUCGCUAGUGGGUGAGGUAAAGGCUCACAAAGGCGACGAUCGGUAGCUGGUCUGAGAGGACGACCAGCCACACUGGGACUGGGCACCGGCCCAGAGUCCUACGGGAGGCAGAGGUGGGGAAGUUUGGACAAUGGGGGCAACCCUGAUCCAGACAUGCCGCGGGCAGGAUGAAGGUCUUCGGAUUGUAAACUGCUUUUGUCAGGGAAGCGGUACCGGAAGAAUAAGCACCGGCUAACUACGUGCCAGCCGCCGCGGUAAUAC